GACGAACGCUGGCGGCGUGCUUAACACAUGCAAGUCGUACGGUAAGGCCCUUUCGGGGGUACACGAGUGGCGAACGGGUGAGUAACACGUGAGUAACCUGCCCACAACUUUGGGAUAACGCUAGGAAACUGGUGCUAAUACUGGAUAUGUGCUCCUGCUGCAUGGUGGGGGUUGGAAAGCUCCGGCGGUUGUGGAUGGACUCGCGGCCUAUCAGCUUGUUGGUGGGGUAGUGGCCUACCAAGGCGGCGACGGGUAGCCGGCCUGAGAGGGUGACCGGCCACAUUGGGACUGAGAUACGGCCCAGACUCCUACGGGAGGCAGCAGUGGGGAAGAUUGCACAAUGGGCGCAAGCCUGAUGCAGCAACGCCGCGUGCGGGAUGACGGCCUUCGGGUUGCAAACCGCUUUCAGCAGGGACGAAGCUUUUUGUGACGGUACCUGCAGAAGAAGCACCGGCUAACUACGUG
rnacentral:rRNA from 1 species